AGAGUUUGAUCCUGGCUCAGGAUGAACGCUGGCGGCGUGCUUAACACAUGCAAGUCGAACGAACCUUCGGGUUAGUGGCGGACGGGUGAGUAACGCGUGAGAAUCUGCCCUCAGGAGGGGGAUAACGGCUGGAAACGGCCGCUAAUACCCCAUAUGCCGAGAGGUGAAAUGAAUUUCGCCUGAGGAUGAGCUCGCGUCUGAUUAGCUAGUUGGUGGGGUAAGAGCCUACCAAGGCAUCGAUCAGUAGCUGGUCUGAGAGGAUGAUCAGCCACACUGGGACUGAGACACGGCCCAGACUCCUACGGGAGGCAGCAGUGGGGAAUUUUCCGCAAUGGGCGAAAGCCUGACGGAGCAACGCCGCGUGAGGGAUGAAGGCCUCUGGGCUGUAAACCUCUUUUAUCAAGGAAGAAGAUCUGACGGUACUUGAUGAAUAAGCCACGGCUAAUUCCGUGCCAGCAGCCGCGGUAAUACGGGAGUGGCAAGCGUUAUCCGGAAUUAUUGGGCGUAAAGCGUCCGCAGGCGGCCUGAUAAGUCUGUUGUCAAAGCGUGGAGCUUAACUCCAUUUCGGCAAUGGAAACUGUGAGGCUUGAGUGUGGUAGGGGCAGAGGGAAUUCCCGGUGUAGCGGUGAAAUGCGUAGAUAUCGGGAAGAACACCAGUGGCGAAGGCGCUCUGCUGGGCCAUAACUGACGCUCAUGGACGAAAGCCAGGGGAGCGAAAGGGAUUAGAUACCCCUGUAGUCCUGGCCGUAAACGAUGAACACUAGGUGUCGGGGGAAUCGACCCCCUCGGUGUCGUAGCCAACGCGUUAAGUGUUCCGCCUGGGGAGUACGCACGCAAGUGUGAAACUCAAAGGAAUUGACGGGGGCCCGCACAAGCGGUGGAGUAUGUGGUUUAAUUCGAUGCAACGCGAAAAACCUUACCAGGGUUUGACAUCCUGCGAAUCCCUUGGAAACUUGGGAGUGCCUUCGGGAGCGCAGAGACAGGUGGUGCAUGGCUGUCGUCAGCUCGUGUCGUGAGAUGUUGGGUUAAGUCCCGCAACGAGCGCAACCCACGUCUUUAGUUGCCAGCAUUGAGUUGGGCACUCUAGAGAGACCGCCGGUGAUAAACCGGAGGAAGGUGUGGAUGACGUCAAGUCAUCAUGGCCCUUAUGGGAUGGGCUACACACGUGCUACAAUGCUACGGACAAAGGGCAGCAAACUCGCGAGAGCUAGCAAAUCCCAUAAACCGUGGCUCAGUUCAGAUCGU
rnacentral:rRNA from 1 species